GACGAACGCUGGCGGCGUGCCUAAUACAUGCAAGUAGAACGCUGAAGAGAGGAGCUUGCUCUUCUUGGAUGAGUUGCGAACGGGUGAGUAACGCGUAGGUAACCUGCCAUGUAGCGGGGGAUAACUAUUGGAAACGAUAGCUAAUACCGCAUAACAAUGGAUGACACAUGUCAUUUAUUUGAAAGGUGCAAUUGCUCCACUACAAGAUGGACCUGCGUUGUAUUAGCUAGUAGGUGAGGUAAUGGCUCACCUAGGCGACGAUACAUAGCCGACCUGAGAGGGUGAUCGGCCACACUGGGACUGAGACACGGCCCAGACUCCUACGGGAGGCAGCAGUAGGGAAUCUUCGGCAAUGGGGGCAACCCUGACCGAGCAACGCCGCGUGAGUGAAGAAGGUUUUCGGAUCGUAAAGCUCUGUUGUAAGUCAAGAACGGGUGUGAGAGUGGAAAGUUCACACUGUGACGGUAGCUUACCAGAAAGGGACGGCUAACUACGUG
rnacentral:rRNA from 1 species